GGUUGUCGUCAGCUCGUGUCGUGAGAUGUUGGUUAAGUCCCGCAACGAGCGCAACCCUCGACCUUAGUUGCCAGCAUUCAGUUGGGCACUCUAAGGUGACUGCCGGCUAAAAGUCGGAGGAAGGUGGGGAUGACGUCAAAUCAUCAUGCCCCUUAUGACCUGGGCUACACACGUGCUACAAUGGGCGGUACAAAGGGUCGCGAACCCGCGAGGGGGAGCCAAUCCCAAAAAAGCCGCUCUCAGUUCGGAUUGCAGGCUGCAACUCGCCUGCAUGAAGCCGGAAUCGCUAGUAAUCGCGGAUCAGCAUGCCGCGGUGAAUACGUUCCCGGGCCUU
rnacentral:rRNA from 1 species